AGGGCACCGACGGGCUUUGUCUCACCCAGUUGGCUGAAUGGAAAAGAGGUGUCCAGAAACGGAAUUAAAGACAAAAGUGCAACUCUGGUGUGAUUAUCUACGGAUAGAAGAUAAAGUCAGUCAAAGUGAUGCGGUUCUUUCUGUUUCUUCUGAAUGGACUGUUGUGCUGUUAUACAGUAGCAAUGGAAUCUUUGCUGGUCACUGGCACCAAUUACGGUAUUGGAGAGUUGUUUAUUAAGUAUCCACUACCUUUAUCAAGUGCCUGCCACUUCCAGGUACUUAAAAAGCACUGGAUACAAAAGAUGACUCAACAGGAACAUAUGGGACGAUAUCCUGGAUGGUUUCGAGGAUCAACUAGAACACACAGACUGACUACGCCGUGGACGUUUGUUUCACCUUCUGUAGUUCCUGUAGAGAACGCCAUCAGUCUAUCUUCUAAAUCAUCCCAAAAAGCAUAUCCAACUCACCACAAGUCUUUACACACCAUGCAGAAGUCAAAAGGAAUGAACAAUAUGGUUGAAUCUUAGGAAGAAAAUGUUGAAUUAGAAAGGUAAGAUAGAGACUACGUGCCCCGCUGUCUUUUAAAAUGGUAAUUAAAUAUAGGCAGUGUUACUCAAAUGCAUUGGUGCUAUACAGGAACGUGAAUGUGUAAGUAAAACCUCAGGGCAGGCUGUGCAGUGGUGUAGCUUCCCCCAGCCUGAAGCGGGCUGGUACAGACUAGUCUGCCACUGAGGUGGGGCCACCUGUGGUGCAGCUGUCCGACCUGGCUGGCUUCUUUCGAAGUGACAACUGCCCUGCUCUUCUGCUACCUGCUGAGAAGCUGAACCCGUUUUCCUGAGAAUUUCCGGAAUAAGCGGCCAGCCUGGCCACCGAGUGCUGACGAAAUGGCUCCAGGCACCAAGUGUGGAGCCGGCAGACUAGUGCUAACAACUUGGCAACAAUACAUCAAGAAGCCUGGCGGGGGUGGGUGGGGGGGGUGGGGGGGCGAUGGGCCUUCCCCCUUAUAAGCACGGUCUCUUAAUAAACUCGUGGGCCUUGAUCAGGA
rnacentral:lncRNA from 1 species